rnacentral:lncRNA from 1 species
AUCAGAGAAUCCUUCAUAGGGAGUGUAGUGGAAAUGCUAAGUCAUGGCUUGAAACAGUGACUGAGCACCUGACAGGAAAGCAGGGCCAAGCCAGGGGAGCUCAGAUGUAUGUAAUGCACUUGAGUGACUGGAUCCUGGUUCCACCCCUUCCCAGACUUCAUUGAAGUGUUGGCAGUGGAGGUGAGGGUAUGUUACCUGCAGAUCCCUGCUUACCUGAGGUCUUCUGAAGUUUCAGGAUUUUCUGCAGGAACUCCUUUGUUCCUGUCUUCCAGGCCUCGCAAAUUUAAGUCAGCAGUGUGCCUAUAUUGGUAGAAUAUUCAAAAAAGCUGCAGUGCAAGAUAAAUGGCAUUAAUAAGCAAGGUUGAGAACUAAGGACAUCUCCAGAAGAGAAAAACAAAGUCAAGUAAGCUGCGUGAUCCUUGCAUGAAAAUGACCCUGAUUGGAGGAUGAGUGCAUGGCUAGGAGUGACUCAUGACUGACUGGAUAAUCACCUGCAUGCGCAGUUAAGGAGUGUCUAUAUGGAAUGUUUUUUUUUUUUUUUCCAUGUAAAGGGAGAUGGGAAAGUUGCAAGAGAAAACUUGUGAAUAUAUGUAAGAGAUGUUAGAACCUGCAAUAAAUGAUUUGGAUCAUUCACAUCUGAGCCCGUGUCUCAGAUGCUAUGGAUAUCAAUUAAAAUAUCAUGUUG